UACGUAGGGGGCAAGCGUUGUCCGGAAUCAUUGGGCGUAAAGAGCGUGUAGGCGGCUCGGUAAGUCCGCUCUGAAAGCCCGGGGCUCAACCCCGGGAGGCGGGCGGAUACUGUCGGGCUAGAGUCCGGAAGAGGCGAGUGGAAUUCCUGGUGUAGCGGUGAAAUGCGCAGAUAUCAGGAAGAACACCCGUGGCGAAGGCGGCUCUCUGGUACGUGACUGACGCUGAGACGCGAAAGCGUGGGGAGCGAACAGG
rnacentral:rRNA from 1 species